CGCGUAGGUGGCAUAUCAAGUCAUAUGUGAAAUUCCAGGGCUUAACCCUGGAGCUGUAUGUGAAACUGAUAUACUAGAGCUAAGGCGGAGAAACGGAAUUUCCCAUGUAGCGGUGAAAUGCGUGGAUAUGGGAAGGAACACCGGAGGCGAAGGCGGUUUUCUAGCUUUAAGCUGACACUGAGGCGCGAAAGCGAGGGGAGCAAACA
rnacentral:rRNA from 1 species